rnacentral:rRNA from 1 species
UACGAAGGGUGCUAGCGUUGUUCGGAAUUACUGGGCGUAAAGCGCGCGUAGGCGGCGAUGCAAGUCAGAGGUGAAAGCCUGGAGCUCAACUCCAGAAUUGCCUUUGAAACUGCAUUGCUAGAGUGUCGGAGGGGAUAGCGGAAUUGCUAAUGUAGAGGUGAAAUUCGUAGAUAUUAGCAGGAACACCGGUGGCGAAGGCGGCUAUCUGGACGACAACUGACGCUGAGGCGCGAAAGCGUGGGGGAUCAAACAGG